AGGGUCAUAAAAAUAUUCCAUCUCAGGGACAAUUUCACCAUUAGGGUCAUAAAAACAACAAAUUCAUCAUUAGGGUCAUAAAAAUAUUCCAUCUCAGGGACAAUUUCACCAUUAGGGUCAAAAAAACAACAAAUUCAUCAUUACGGUCAUAAAAAUAUUCCAUCUCAGGGACAAUUUCACCAUUAGGGUCAUACAAAUA
rnacentral:lncRNA from 1 species